rnacentral:rRNA from 1 species
UCAAGUGAAUAAGCGCACAUGGUGGAUGCCAUGGCGUCAGGAGGCGAAGAAGGACGUACUAAUCUGCGAAAAGCUCAGAUAAGCCGAUAAGGGGCGCAAUAGUCUGAGAUAUCCGAAUGGGGCAACCCAACACUUAAGUGUUACUUAAUACACAAGUAUUAAGAGCGAACCGGGGGAAGUGAAACAUCUCAGUACCCCGAGGAAAAGAAAUCAACCGAGAUUUCCACAGUAGCGGCGAGCGAACUGGAAAGAGCCCAAAAGUCGUAUAUGUUCAAGUAGAAGAAGAUGGAAAGCUUCACGAGAGAAGGUGAUAGUCCUGUAUACGUAAGGGCAUAUAUGAUGAGCGAGAGUAGGGCGGGACACGUGGUAUCCUGUCUGAAUAUGGGGGGACCAUCCUCCAAGGCUAAAUACUCCUGACUGACCGAUAGUGAACCAGUACCGUGAGGGAAAGGCGAAAAGAACCCCGGCGAGGGGAGUGAAAAAGAACCUGAAACCGUGUACGUACAAGCAGUGGGAGCACCUUCGUGGUGUGACUGCGUACCUUUUGUAUAAUGGGUCAGCGAGUUAUCUGUAUUAGCGAGGUUAACUUUGAUGAGGGAGCCGUAGGGAAACCGAGUCUUAAUAGGGCGAAGAGUUGAUGCAGGUAGACCCGAAACCGAGUGAUCUAGUCCUGGACAGGCUGAAAGCAGGGUAACACCUGCCGGAGGGCCCAACCUACUGUCGUUGCAAAGCCAGAGGAUGAUCUGGGACUAGGGGUGAAAGGCCAAUCAAACCCGGUGAUAGCUGGUUCUCCCCGAAAGCUAUUUAGGUAGCGUCCUGCAGGGACGGAUGGGGGUAGAGCACUGUUAUUGGAAGGGUCCCAUUGAGGGAUACCGACCAAUUGCAAACUACGAAUACCAUCCAGUUGUAAGCAGGGGACACACAGUGGGUGCUAACGUUCAUUGUGAAGAGGGAAACAACCCGGACCGUCGGCUAAGGUCCCAAAGUUCUGAUUAAGUGGGAAACGAUGUGGGAAGGCAUAGACAGCCAGGAUGUUGGCUUAGAAGCAGCCAUCAUUUAAAGAAAGCGUAAUAGCUCACUGGUCGAGUCGGCCUGCGCGGAAGAUGUAACGGGGCUAAAAUCAGACACCGAAGCUGCGGAUUCAUACUAUAGGUAUGAGUGGUAGGGGAGCGUUGUGUAAGCCUGAGAAGCUGACAAGGGAUUGUUGGUGGAGGUAUCACAAGUGCGAAUGCUGACGCAAGUAACGAUAAAAUGGGGAAAUAACCCAUUCGCCGGAAGACCAAGGUUUCCUGUUCAACGUUAAACGGAGCAGGGUUAGUCGGUGCCUAAGGCGAGGCUGAAAAGCGUAGUCGAAGGGAAACGGGUUAAUAUUCCCGUACCGUGUAUUAUUGCGAUGGGGUGACGGAGAAGGUAAGGCUAGCCGGAGAACGGAAGUUCCGGUGAAAGACUGUAGGUAGGAUGAUGGGUUAAAAGACAACAUCCGAUAAUCUGAGAGUCGAGACGAGACACAUAAGUGUUGAAGUAGUUGUGGCCAGGCUCCCAGGAAAAGCCCCUAAGCGAUAGAUAAUACAGGCCGUACCCCAAACCGACACAGGUGGUCGGGUAGAAGAUACCAAGGCGCUUGAGAGAACCCGGGUGAAGGAACUAGGCAAAAUUGUACCGUAACUUCGGGAGAAGGUACGCUGAACUAUGUGAGAAGGUAAACCCUUUGAGCCAAGUUCAGCCGCAGAUAAAUGGUGGCUGGGACUGUUUAACAAAAACACAGCACUCUGCAAACCUGAAAGGGGAAGUAUAGGGUGUGACACCUGCCCGGUGCCGGAAGGUUAAAUGAUGAAGUUAGCGCAAGCGAAGCUUUUGAGUGAAGCCCCGGUAAACGGCGGCCGUAACUAUAACGGUCCUAAGGUAGCGAAAUUCCUUGUCGGGCAAGUUCCGACCUGCACGAAUGGUGUAACCAUGGCCACGCUGUCUCCACCCGGGACUCAGUGAAACCGAAAUCGCUGUGAAGAUGCAGUGUACCCGCGGCUAGACGGAAAGACCCCGUGAACCUUUACUGCAGCUUGACACUGAACCUUGAACCUGUUUGUGUAGGAUAGGCGGGAGGCAUAGAAGCGAAGACGCCAGUUUUCGUGGAGCCAUCCUUGAAAUACCGCCCUGACAGUUUUGAGGUUCUAACUAUGGAAAACAAAUUCGAGGACAGUGUCUGGUGGGAAGUUUGACUGGGGCGGUCUCCUCCCAAAGGAUAACGGAGGAGCACGAAGGUCGGCUGAUCACGGUCGGAAACCGUGAAGUCAGUGCAAUGGCAUAAGCCGGCUUGACUGCGAGAGCAGCAACUCGAGCAGGUGCGAAAGCAGGUCAUAGUGAUCCGGUGGUUCCAUAUGGACGGGCCAUCGCUCAACGGAUAAAAGGUACUCUGGGGAUAACAGGCUGAUACCGCCCAAGAGUUCAUAUCGACGGCGGUGUUUGGCACCUCGAUGUCGGCUCAUCUCAUCCUGGGGCUGUAGCCGGUCCCAAGGGUAUGGCUGUUCGCCAUUUAAAGAGGUACGUGAGCUGGGUUUAAAACGUCGUGAGACAGUUUGGUCCCUAUCUGCCGUGGGCGCUGGAAGAUUGACGGGGGCUGCUCCUAGUACGAGAGGACCGGAGUGGACGCACCUCUGGUGUACCGGUUGUCACGCCAGUGGCAUCGCCGGGUAGCUAUGUGCGGAAGAGAUAACCGCUGAAAGCAUCUAAGCGGGAAACUUGCCUGAAGAUAAGUCUUCCCGGAGGCUAGACCUCCCUGAAGAGUCGUUCGAGACCAGGACGUUGAUAGGUCGGGUGUGUAAGCGUUGUGAGACGUUUAGCUAACCGAUACUAAUUGCUCGUGAGGCUUGAUCCU